rnacentral:rRNA from 1 species
GUAUAUGCUUACAACAUAGCAUUAAUGCACCGGAUCCCAUUAGAACUCUGUAGUUAAGCGUGCUCGGGCUAGAGUUGUAUUGGGAUGGGUGAUCCCACAUGCAUCAUGGGAAUUGUUCUCC